UACGUAGGGUGCAAGCGUUAAUCGGAAUUACUGGGCGUAAAGCGUGCGCAGGCGGUUUCGUAAGUCUGUCGUGAAAUCCCCGGGCUUAACCUGGGAAUGGCGAUGGAGACUGCGAGGCUAGAGUUUGGCAGAGGGGGGUAGAAUUCCACGUGUAGCAGUGAAAUGCGUAGAGAUGUGGAGGAACACCGAUGGCGAAGGCAGCCCCCUGGGUCAAAACUGACGCUCAUGCACGAAAGCGUGGGGAGCAAACAGG
rnacentral:ncRNA from 4 species